rnacentral:rRNA from 1 species
AAACUUUACAAUGCGGGAAACCGCGAUAAGGGGACACCGAGUGCCAGCAUCCUAUGUUGGCUGUCCAUAUGUAUAAAUAACAUGUGUUAGCAAGGGCCGGGCAAGACCGGUGCCAGCCGCCGCGGUAACACCGGCGGCCCGAGUGGUGGCCACUAUUAUUGGGUCUAAAGGGUCCGUAGCCGGUUUGGUCAGUCUUCCGGGAAAUCUGACGGCUUAACCGUUAGGCUUUCGGGGGAUACUGCCAGGCUUGGGACCGGGAGAGGUAAGAGGUACUACGGGGGUAGGAGUGAAAUCUUGUAAUCCCUGUGGGACCACCAGUGGCGAAGGCGUCUUACCAGAACGGGUCCGACGGUGAGGGACGAAAGCUGGGGGCACGAACCGG